AUUGAACGCUGGCGGCAGGCCUAACACAUGCAAGUCGAACGAGUGGCGGACGGGUGAGUAAUGUCUGGGAAACUGCCCGAUGGAGGGGGAUAACUACCGGAAACGGUAGCUAAUACCGCAUACCAUCGGAUGUGCCCAGAUGGGAUUUGCUAGUGGGUGGGGUAACGGCUCACAUAGGCGACGAUCCCUAGCUGGUCUGAUAGGAUGACCAGCCACACUGGAACUGAGACACGGUCCAGACUCCGACGGGAGGCAGCAGUGGGGAAUAUGGCACAAUGGGCGCAAGCCGGAUGCAGCCAUGCCGCGUGUAUGAAGAAGGCCUUCGGGUUGUAAAGUACUUUCAGCGAGGAGGCGUUACUCGCAGAAGAAGCACCGGCUAACUCCGUGCCAGCAGCCGCGGUAAUAC
rnacentral:rRNA from 1 species